CCUACGGGUGGCAGCAGUGGGGAAUAUUGCACAAUGGGGGAAACCCUGAUGCAGCGACGCCGCGUGAGCGAGGCAGUAUUUCGGUAUGUAACGCUCUAUCAGCAGGGACGAAAAAAGACGGUACCUGACUAAGAAGCCCCGGCUCACUACGUGCCAGCAGCCGAGGUAAUACGUAGGGCGCAAGCGUUAUCCGGAUUUACUGGUUGUAAAGGGAGCGUAGACGGCAAGGCAAUCCAGAAGUGACAGGGCAGGGCUCAACCCUGUACAUGCUUUUGGAAUUGGGGUGCUAGAGUGCAGUAGAGGUAAGUGGAAGUCCUGGUGUAGCGGUGAAAUGCGUAGAUAUUAGGAGGAACACCAGUGGCGAAGGCGGCUUACUGGACUGUAACUGACGUUGAGGCUCGAAAGCGUGGGGAGCAAACAGGAUUAGAUACCCUUGUAGUC
rnacentral:rRNA from 1 species